rnacentral:lncRNA from 1 species
AGUUAAUGGUUAUAGUUAGUAAGACAAUGGAAUCUAUUGUCAGGUAUUGUAAGGAAUGUUUUUGAAGGUCACGUACUUGGGAAAGUAAACUUUGAUGUAUGUAAAUUAAGUUCGAAUUAUAUUAUUAUUUAGUAUUAUUCAGCUUAAAGAAAUGGUAUCGUGGAGAACCGAGUUCGGGUUUCAAGUACCUGGAUUUGGGGUCGCCACAGAAGCUUCAUGCAUUCGUCUUGCGAAAAUCGUCUGACAGUUUUAAAAACUGCGAUUUUCGAAAUCUAAAUAUUUUUGGAUAUUUUCUCUUUUCUCUACAGUUUAACUUUUACGUAUUCUUCGAAACUCCGAAAAACUGAAAACACUUUUUGAUGUGAAGCGUUAUCCUUCACGUUUUCUCCUAACGUAG